UCGGCUUAGAGUUUGAUCAUGGCUCAGGACGAACGCUGGCGGCGUGCCUAAUACAUGCAAGUCGAACGAACUGGUGCUUGCAUCAUUGAGUGGCGAACUGGUGAGUAACACGUGGGAAACCUGCCCAGAAGCGGGGGAUAACACCUGGAAACAGAUGCUAAUACCGCAUAACAACUUACCGCAUGGUCGAGCUGAAAGAUGUUCGUAUCACUUUUGGAUGGUCCCGCGGCGUAUUAGCUAGAUGGUGGGGUAAUGGCUCACCAUGGCAAUGAUACGUAGCCGACCUGAGAGGGUAAUCGGCCACAUUGGGACUGAGACACGGCCCAAACUCCUACGGGAGGCAGCAGUAGGGAAUCUUCCACAAUGGACGAAAGUCUGAUGGAGCAACGCCGCGUGAGUGAAGAAGGGUUUCGGCUCGUAAAACUCUGUUGUUAAAGAAGAACAUAUCUGAGGUAAUUCAGGUAUUGACGGUAUUUAACCAGAAAGCCACGGCUAACUACGUGCCAGCA
rnacentral:rRNA from 1 species